AUUGAACGCUGGCGGCAGGCUUAACACAUGCAAGUCGAGCGGAGACUUCGGUCUUAGCGGCGAACGGGUGAGUAAUACCUAGGAAUCUGCCUAUUAGUGGGGGAUAACGAAUCGAAAGGUUCGCUAAUACCGCAUACGUCCUACGGGAGAAAGGGGGGGAUCUUCGGACCUCUCGCUAAUAGAUGAGCCUAGGCCGGAUUAGCUAGUUGGUAGGGUAAAGGCCUACCAAGGCGACGAUCUGUAGCUGGUCUGAGAGGAUGGCCAGCCACACUGGAACUGAGACACGGUCCAGACUCCUACGGGAGGCAGCAGUGGGGAAUAUUGGACAAUGGGGGCAACCCUGAUCCAGCCAUGCCGCGUGUGUGAAGAAGGCCUCGGUU
rnacentral:rRNA from 1 species